rnacentral:rRNA from 1 species
AUUAAACGCUGGCGGCAUGCCUUACACAUGCAAGUCGAACGGCAGCACGGGGGCAACCCUGGUGGCGAGUGGCGGACGGGUGAGUAAAGCAUCGGAACGUAUCCUGGAGUGGGGGAUAACGUAGCGAAAGUUACGCUAAUACCGCAUAUUCUGUGAGCAGGAAAGCAGGGGAUCGCAAGACCUUGCGCUCUGGGAGCGGCCGAUGUCGGAUUAGCUAGUUGGUGGGGUAAAGGCCUACCAAGGCGACGAUCCGUAGCGGGUCUGAGAGGAUGAUCCGCCACACUGGGACUGAGACACGGCCCAGACUCCUACGGGAGGCAGCAGUGGGGAAUUUUGGACAAUGGGCGGAAGCCUGAUCCAGCCAUGCCGCGUGAGUGAAGAAGG